rnacentral:rRNA from 1 species
GGACUACUGGGGUAUCUAAUCCUGUUUGCUCCCCACGCUUUCGCACAUGAACGUCAGUAUUGGACCAGGAAGUCGCUUUCGCCACUGGUGUUCCUUCCGAUAUCUACGCAUUUCACCGCUACACCGGAAAUUCCACUUCCCUCUUCCAUACUCUAGCCAUGCAGUCUCAAAUGCAGUUCCCAGGUUGAGCCCAGGGAUUUCACAUCUGACUUACAAAACCGUCUACGCGCGCUUUACGCCCAGUAAUUCCGAUUAACGCUCGCACCCUCUGUAUUACCGCGGCUGCUGGCAC